AAUCAAUAAAAACCCAUAUUUGGUCUUUCAUUUGUAAAUGUGAAUAAAGCACUGUCAAUACUAUUGCUCUUUACUCCACGGCUCGGCAUGAGAUACUUCCCUGUGCUGUGCAGCCAUAGUGAUUUGCCUGCUGAGAUCUCUCCGAGCCCCAAGCCAUGAACAAUAGGGUGGAUGUUUAAUGCGAAGCACUUGGAAUUUAUAAGAUGCUGAGCACAGGCCAAACCUCAUUUACUGAGCUCUAUUAAUAUGGCAGCUGGAGAUGAAAGGCUACGUGAAGCUGCUGAACUUGCUCUGCUCAAUGCAAGGAUGAGGCUUAGUUGUCUGCCAGCUGUACAAGAGGCACAGCCAGAGGGGGACCCAAGUGUGGCUGAUGCACCCCAGUAUAACCAGUGUUUGGGCAGCUGGAAUACUGUAAGGUUGUGAGGGCCACAGCAAUCUCCUGUGGAGAGGGUUUUGAAUUGGAGCAAGAUGCUCUUGUUGAAAAACUGAUCAAAAAUAGGGAUUUGAGCUGUAUUAUUGGUCAAUUCCUGCCCCCAUGCAGCUGCAAUUCCAGGAACCACUGCUGUGCCUAAUACACUUCCAGCCAGGAAUGUGAUUUGCAGCCUGUGUGGGGAUGAAAAACCCUUAGCAAUCUUACGGAAGUCUUCCUUUAACGUCAUAAGUGAGGAUGGAGAGAAAGAGCUGUUCCCUAACCAUUCCUGUGAACAGGCGGGAAGGUGUGUCCAGAUGGUGUGGCUGGGGUGGAAUGUUGGCACAGAACAGGAUGCAAAGCAUUCCUGCUAAAACAAAAGCCUUGCCAAGCACACGGGCCGGGAUGACUGAAACUCCGGAGUCCUGGACUAGCACUGAGCAGUCGGAGUAAACCCCCCAUUUCAACAAGUGGCUACAAGAGCUCUGUGAUGAAUUAAUCCUCUUUCACUACAGACCCAAUGUGCUUGAUUGACUUUGGUGCUGGUGGAAUUGAGAGCUUGAAGCUGUUGCUGCACGUGGAGUAUUUAUCGGGGCACCUCUCGCCCCAGAGAUGUGUGCUCCCAGGCUGCACAGUGCUCAGGAUCACUUCUCCUGCCCAGCUAUUGUCAUUAAGCUUGCAGGGACUUAAGUAUCUUGGUGAGCUGUGCCCUCUGUCAGGCUCUAGAUGGAACUGGUUAAAGAGUUAAAAACUAUUAGGGAGAGGCAGGCAGAAAGGGAUUGUACAGGCUUUGCUGCUGUGAGAAAACAGGGGUGUUUUUAAAAGGUACAUUUGGGAAGGGAGAAAGAGAUCUGAGCAAUUAUGGGAUUACUGGUUUGUUCUCACACUGUGCAGGGUUUUAGAAUAGAUCUUAAGGGAACGAAUACUCAAAGGCAUGGGGGAAAAUGGAAUGAAAUGGAGCAAGGUUUUACAAAAGGCGGAUUGGGCCUGACUAAUGUAGUGCAUUAGGAUGAGAUAGGUGGUUUCUUAGACAAAGGCAGUGGCCUUGCUGCAGACACAAAUAGAGCUUUUCAGUGGAAGCUGUCAUGUAAUAUGAAAAUAAAAAAGCUGAGAAAAAUUAAGUGAUUAAGCCUCAGUUAAAGGGAGAACAUCAGCUCUUGGGAAGGGUAGCAUGAGAGGACAAGACAGGCAUGGAAGGUGCUCCUCAAGGCCUGCCCAUGGGCCAAACCUGCUUAAAAUCACCUGGUGCAAAAACCUGAAGGCAUUUAGGUAAUUAGAAGGUAAUUAGAAGACAUGGACUCAAAUGCCAGCACCAGGGGCUGUGGUGAAAUAGGGUAGUGUGGUGGGAUACGGGCUUUGGCUGAUGGGGAGUGCUGGAAGUCCCUGUGCACCCGUAGCUGUCCUCGUGCAAGAUCUGUUUCAUGGUCCUGGUGUGCUACUUCUUGCCUUGAAAAGAGCCUCUUCAUCUUCUGCAUUCCUCUCCUACAUGUGAGGUCUCCUACUGCCAAUGAUCUACUGUGUCUCUCCCAUGUCACCCACAUCCUGAGAGCUCCACAUAGUCUAAAAAUGAUGAUACUCCAGGCAGAACAUGAAAACAUGGAAGUGCAUUUAUCUGUGCAUGGUAUCUAACCACGGAACACCUAAGUUCCUUGACACAAGAGAGCAGAGAAAAGGAAAAUAUAAGAUAGAAAACCAGACAAGUGCAUGUGAUGGAUAAGUCUCAUUUACUCUUCUCCCUUGGGAAGAGCAGCUGUGAGUGGCAUGACCUGCCUAGUUCACCCCCUCUUGCAGACAACACGCUGACAUUCAGCAGUUUGACUGUGCCCUCUGCUGUUAACAGAAAUACAGA